rnacentral:ncRNA from 1 species
UAAUAUUUAGCGCCUGGACACUACAUAGUGUUGACGAGGUUCAGGGUUAUCGAAAUUCGGCGGGUGCCCUGAUGGCUACAACUUAUAGUCAUAAGUAUUAAUAAAAAAAUCAAUAGUGAUAUUGUAACAAAAGUUAAUA